rnacentral:rRNA from 1 species
UACGUAGGGUGCAAGCGUUGUCCGGAAUUAUUGGGCGUAAAGCGCACGUAGGCGGCUAUCUAAGUCGGAUGUGAAAUCCCUCGGCUUAACCAAGGAAGUGCACCCGAAACUGGAUAGCUUGAGUACAGAAGAGGAUCGCGGAAUUCCCGGUGUAGAGGUGAAAUUCGUAGAUAUCGGGAGGAACACCAGUGGCGAAGGCGGCGAUCUGGGCUGAUACUGACGCUGAGGUGCGAAAGCGUGGGGAGCAAACAGG